rnacentral:rRNA from 1 species
GCAGACGGGUGCGUAAGCACAGUGAAGAACUUGUCCGGUGGCGGGGGAUAGCCUGGCCCGAACGGCCGGGUUAAUACCGCACUACGCUCGUCGUGACGUGCAUCGUUGCGCGAGGAAAGCAGUCCGCAAAGGUUGCGCCGACGGGAGAGCUUCUGCUGGCCUAUCAGCUUGUUGGCGGGGUAAUGGCCCACCAAGGCGACGAGCGGGUAGCUGGUCUGAGAGGAUGAUCAGCCACAUUGGGACUGAGACACGGCCCAGACUCAAUACGGGAGGCAGCAGUGGGGAAUAUUGCGCAAUGGCCGCAAGGCUGACGCAGCGACGCCGCGUGUGGGAUGACGGUCUUCGGAUUGUAAACCACUGUCAGGGGGAACGAAUACCGGGCGACGAAUAGCCGACCCGGGGUGAACGGUACCUCCAAAGGAAGCACCGGUAACUCCGUGCCAGC